UACGGAGGGGGCUAGCGUUGUUCGGAAUUACUGGGCGUAAAGCGCACGUAGGCGGACUGUUAAGUCGGGGGUGAAAUCCUGGAGCUCAACUCCAGAACUGCCUUCGAUACUGGCGAUCUUGGAGUCCGGGAGAGGUGGGUGGAACUGCGAGUGUAGAGGUGAAAUUCGUAGAUAUUCGCAAGAACACCAGUGGCGAAGGCGGCUCACUGGCCCGGUACUGACGCUGAGGUGCGAAAGCGUGGGGAGCAAACAGG
rnacentral:rRNA from 1 species